rnacentral:tRNA from 2 species
GCCCUCGUAGUUCAACGGAUAGAAUGCAAGAUUGCGGAUCUUGUGAUCGUGGUUCGAUUCCACGCGAGGGCA